UAGCACAGAGAGCUUGCUCUCGGGUGACGAGUGGCGGACGGGUGAGUAAUGUCUGGGGAUCUGCCCGAUAGAGGGGGAUAACCACUGGAAACGGUGGCUAAUACCGCAUAACGUCGCAAGACCAAAGAGGGGGACCUUCGGGCCUCUCACUAUCGGAUGAACCCAGAUGGGAUUAGCUAGUAGGCGGGGUAAUGGCCCACCUAGGCGACGAUCCCUAGCUGGUCUGAGAGGAUGACCAGCCACACUGGAACUGAGACACGGUCCAGACUCCUACGGGAGGCAGCAGUGGGGAAUAUUGCACAAUGGGCGCAAGCCUGAUGCAGCCAUGCCGCGUGUAUGAAGAAGGCCUUCGGGUUGUAAAGUACUUUCAGCGGGGAGGAAGGCGACGCGGUUAAUAACCGCGUCGAUUGACGUUACCCGCAGAAGAAGCACCGGCUAACUCCGUGCCAGCAGCCGCGGUAAUACGGAGGGUGCAAGCGUUAAUCGGAAUUACUGGGCGUAAAGCGCACGCAGGCGGUCUGUUAAGUCAGAUGUGAAAUCCCCGGGCUUAACCUGGGAACUGCAUUUGAAACUGGCAGGCUUGAGUCUUG
rnacentral:rRNA from 1 species